rnacentral:rRNA from 1 species
UACAGAGGGUGCGAGCGUUAAUCGGAAUUACUGGGCGUAAAGCGUGCGUAGACGGCUAUCUAAGUCGGGUGUGAAAGCCCCGGGCUCAACCUGGGAAUUGCAUUCGAGACUGAAUAGCUAGGGUACGGUAGAGGGAAGCGGAAUUUCCGGUGUAGCGGUGAAAUGCGUAGAUAUCGGAAGGAACAUCAGUGGCGAAAGCGGCUUCCUGGACCAGUACCGACGUCAGGCACGAAGCGUGGGGAGCAAACAGGA